GCCAGGCGUGGUGGCGCAUGCCUGUAAUCCCUGCAGCUCAGGAGGCUGAGGCCGGAGGAUUACCAGUUCAAAGCCAGCCUCAAAGCAACUGUCUCUAGACUAAGACCCUGUCUCUA
rnacentral:sRNA from 1 species